rnacentral:rRNA from 1 species
GAUGAACGCUGGCGGCGUGCCUAAUACAUGCAAGUCGAGCGAACAGACGAGGAGCUUGCUCCUCUGACGUUAGCGGCGGACGGGUGAGUAACACGUGGAUAACCUACCUAUAAGACUGGGAUAACUUCGGGAAACCGGAGCUAAUACCGGAUAAUAUAUUGAACCGCAUGGUUCAAUAGUGAAAGACGGUUUUGCUGUCACUUAUAGAUGGAUCCGCGCCGCAUUAGCUAGUUGGUAAGGUAACGGCUUACCAAGGCAACGAUGCGUAGCCGACCUGAGAGGGGGAGGGGGCAACGGAAGGAUAACACACGGUCAGGCCACGACCGGGAGGCGGAAGUGGGGUAUUGUCGACAAUGGGCUACAGACAGACAGAAAAAGGAGGCGUGGUUGAAAAAUGUCUCCGAAUCGUAAACCCCUUUUAACGGGAAAGAACAAAGAUGUAAGAAAUUAUGACCGCCUGGCCGGUCCGUAAUAAGAAAGAAACGCCAACCUCGUUC